rnacentral:misc_RNA from 1 species
AUAAUUUUUUUUUUGUGUAAUUUUAGUAUACAGAAUGAGUUGUGCCGGUAGCCACUGGGGAGAGUUUCAGGAUGGUCAAGGCAGCAGCAAUGAUGACUGGAGUCUCAGCGGCUCUGACAUGGAAGACCUCCUAACCCCAAAGCCACCACCACCAACUCCUCCAACCCUUCACCAGCCAUCUCAGGAGGAAACAUCAUCAUUUCAGAAACUUCCAGCAGAAUUCUGUAGAACAGACCCCUUAGUUUUGCAAACAAUCAGAUUACUACAGUAUCAGAGACAAGUUGCCCAGCUUAUAAACAGAGCACAGAGUAUAGGUAUGGAGGGGAAUAGCUUCCCAUCAUGCCCGGCACCUCCUGAUGAGCCUGUGCUUGACCGGAAAACUGCGAAGCCACACUUCUUAUUCUUUAUUCCUCCUGAAAAAACCUCAUACACAAGUGGGAAGAAUGAGCCACAGUUACUUGAGGUGGAGGGCACAACUGCACGACUUAUUUUGAGGAAAGCUGUAGCAACAGUAUGUGCACACACAGGAUACACUGACACAUCCGAGAGUGUGCUCAGAUUUCUCACCGAUGUUCUCCAUGAAUUUUUGACGAAGCUGACCAAUUUGCUACGUGCUAACACAGACUCCCUUCUGUUGACAGACAGAUGUCCAUUUCAUGAUGUUAUGGAACAAAGCCUUCACGAUAUUGGGAUUGGCAGCAUGAAUGAGUUACACCAAAUGUACCGUGAACGUGUUAUUCUGUACCAUACCAGAGUCAGGCAGGAGAGCUUUCAGUUGUAUCAUCAAUACCUUGCUCUUACACAGAAUAAGGAAGGCAGUAUUGCAACACCUGGGUCUCGAAGGGAGAGUACAGGGGACUGGUGGGGAGACGACUGUGGGAGUCAACAUGGAGGUCCAAGUGGUACCUCUGCACCAGGUCUAGAUGAUACCUCUGUCCCAUCUAUUAAAAGUACCUCAAGUCUGGAUCCUGAAUUAUCACUCCAUCCAUUCUCUGUGUUGAGCCAGUGAGUUAUGAGGAGGUUGAACAUAAUGAUGUAAUAUAGCAUAAGUGCAGCUGAAGUCCAGAUCAGGAUGCUGACAAUUGAACAAGAGUCGGAGGUGAUGGAGAAGAAGGGGUCCAGCACUCACCUGCCACCACACAACAAUACCAGCUAUACCCUCUUACACCCAGAUAGAUAUGAUUGCAACAUUUUGCCUGUAUAUAAUCAAUGCAGAUUUCUUGCCUUACAAUUUGCACAUUAUUCUUAUAAAAGGUAUUAUAUGUUCAGUUUUUAGUAUUAAACCAUUUUAUUUAUAGCUAAUUAACUAUUUCUUUAGUGAGGUUAUAUUUUCAUUUUGAUGCUCAUUUUUGACACACCAAACUGUUCAGUUGCCUAAAUUACAUUAUUAAAUAUGGCUGUUUGCUGAAUUAUAGUGUUAGCAUUUAGUACUUCUAAAUGCAAUUUUAUUUUUUUUUUGUAUCACAAUUCCAUUCCUCUGAUUUUACACUAUUGGCUGUAUACCUAGGAUUGUUUCAAGUAUGAUAAGGUGAAGAAAGUAUUUAGCCUGCAAGUUAUAUUGCAUCAAAAUCUGUCAUUUUCUCAGGAGUGAUAGAAAUUUCAGGUUUCAUAGUUUGUGUACUAUAUAACUUCAGAUUAAAAGAAAAACAAACUUUGUAUGGUUACUUUUUCCAAAAUUAACUUUCCCCAUGUAUAAUUAUUGCUGCCUGGCCAAAUAAAUGCUUGUUUUCAUUUAAGGGAACAUGCGCAUAUGCUUUGUGUAUAUAUAAUUAUUGAAAUUUUGUAACUUUUCAUCCUUUAACUCUCAGAAUUAUUUAUUUCUAUACCACAUGGGAAAGCAUUCUCAAAACCAUAGAUGGUAUUGUAAAAGAUAAAAUUUACAACCUCAGUCUCAUAUAAUUAGUAAGGUGAGUAGUCAGGUAAUAGAUUAAGUGAGCUGUGUAUAUAAAUAGUAUUAGUAGUAAAACCUCUGGAAGUGAGAUUUUUUUUGAAAGCUCACACAUGCUCUCUCAUCAUUCAAUGUACAGUAUUGUCUUAUUUGCUGCAGAUUAUUUCACACAUUUUAAUGAAUGCAGAUUCCUAAUACUGACUUUCAGAAUGGGUGCUGAAUUAGAUGGGUAAAUUUCUCUGGUAUUUGACAUUAAUCAAAUAUUUUUUUAUAUACAAAUAUUUAGAUGGGUCUUCCUAUUUUGUUGUUACUUUCAUUGAAAUAUAUGGUAAUGGAACAAAGACUAGGGAGUAAAAUGCUGUGUAUCUGUGUGUAGGUUUAUGUUAUACUUAUAUUGUAAGUUUGUUUAACUUCACUUUCACCCUAAUGCAAAAUUCAAAAAUGUUAGCCUAAGGCACUGUUUUU